AUGGUGCAGAAAGAGAAAAUGCAAUGGGCCUGGUGUUGUGAAGCCCAAGGUUGUGAUACACUCAUUAAUGUUUUUUUUUAAGUGAACAUAGGUGUAAGAAGCAAAUACAAUGGGCAUAAGAUUAAGCCCAAUGCAAUCCCCACGAGAGAGAUCAUAUUCAGCUUCAACUACGUUCAUUUCCAUGCUCAGAAUAAAAUAUUUCAUUCCCUCUAACCUCAGUCUGAGAAAGAAUCUUCGUCGCGCCAGAAAUCGCCUCCGGCGGCGGAGGAGGACGAAACACUUCCAAACUUACAUCAUUGAACUGACUUCCCUCUCCCCUAAAUGAAUUCAUACUCAAUUUAAUUUAAUUCCUAACCAAACAAUCAAAUCGACAAGAAAAACUCAAGAACCCUAGCUACUGAAAUCUAAAAUUAAAUGCACCAAUGAAUGAAUCAAGGCCUCUGAUCUCAUGGCUUUUGUUCCUCUAACCAAGCCAUACAUGUUUGCAACAAAUUCAAGGCGAAAUGAAGAGAACCCACCUGCAUGCGCAAAUGAGGAUGAAGAUGACUUCCCAGUACUCAUGUGCAAAAGGGAUAGCAUGAUCAAGGCUUACCUAUGAAGUGUUCUAACAUGGCAUCAAGUGGAAUUCUAUUGAAAUCACCAAGAUCAAGAAAAAUAGAGGAUGAAAAUGGGAUUGUGGAUACAAAAUGGGAAAUUAGGGUUUUUAGGGUUUUAGCAUCAGUAGUUGACUUUGGUCAACUGUUUGACCAAAAAUCAACCUAGGUCAAAAUUAGGUUUUUUGAUGUACUUUGUAUGAACAUUGAAAUGGAUGAUUUGUAAUGGAAAUUUGAAGUGAGACUUUGAUGAUUUUGUAAUAAAAUGGCCUUUUUUGAAA